UUCCACGCCUCUGCACAAAUCCACAUCAUCUCUAAAAUACCUCCCAAUGGAGCUUUCGUUUUAACCUCCACCCGCUUUAACAUCUCACAUAAAACCGGUGGUGUCGCGGU